GCUUCCACUUGCUACCAAAUGAGAUGUGCUCAAGUGCAGCCUCAUAUUUCUUCAUGAUUUAAUUGGUGUACUUCAUAAUUUUGUAAACAUGCUUCAGACAUGUUUUCUUCAUUAUGAUAAUGCCGAUGUGAAGCUGGUAAGUGACUAUAAGGCCAUGGAUAACAAUAGAUCAACUCAAACCAUUCUACAUGUCUGUGGUUCUACUUUCAAGUCUAUCUAUCAUAUGAUGCUUCUACUCAAGAAUUAUGCAUUAUCUAUCUACUACACCAUUUGAAGUAUAUCCAUUCAUUUAGAGACAACACCAUGUGAUCUUUCAUAUGCUCUUGUCUGGCCAUGACUCAUAUCUCAUGGCCCUCCUUCAUUGAUCAUUGUAGUUGCUGACGGAUUCAUUAUUUAUCCUUCAUCUAUAUAUAUUAAUGGCUGCAAAGGCAUUUAGGACCAACAAAAAACCAUUCACAUCCCAAGGCAUUUGAAAUUCAGAAACUUGAGUCUUCUAUAUACAACUCUUUCUUUUUUAGACCAAGCUUCUCUUUUAAACACAUACAUACAACAAUGGGUUUUCGUUUACCAAGUCUCAUCAGAUCAAGAGUAUCAUCUUCAAAAGCUGUGGACGUUCCAAAGGGAUAUCUAGCAGUGUACGUAGGAGAGAAAAUGAAGCGGUUUGUGAUCCCUAUAUCAUAUUUGAAGCAAACAUCAUUACAAGAACUGUUGAGCCAAGCUGAAGAACAAUUUGAAUAUGAACAUCCAAUGGGUGGUCUAACUAUUCCUUGCAGAGAAGAAAUUUUCUUAGAUAUCACCUCUCACUUCAAUUGAAUUAGCUCUUUGAAGAUAUCAUAGGACUGACGUAGAUAUCUGACCCAUUUUUGUAGCACUUUAGUUUCAUACCUUCAAAAGAUUUUCACUUUUGUUGUAAUUUGGAUGUAAAAUGUUGAUCUAAAUGAGAAAUUUAUUAACACCAUUUUCAUAUUUCUCUAUUUCUUCCCUUUAAAUAUCAACAUGAAAAUCGAUUGUUAAAUGUUCAGUUUAGAAUCAAUAUUUGAUAAAAUGAAGAAAUUCAUUACUUCAAUUACAAAGUUGACUUCCCCUGUUGCAAAAGUAUAUAAUGUUAAAAGUAAGUUUUAUAAUUUAGUGAUCAUAAGUGAAGUAUGUGUUGCGGAAAAAAAAUCCGCAGAGAAAAAUAUUGAGUCAUUGAUCCUGUUGAUUUGUAAAAAAAAAUGGUUUAUUUGCAUAUACUCAUUGUCCAAGUUAAGCUUAUACAUUGAUAUCACCGACAAUAUCAAACAGUUAGCAAUCCUCUAGACUAUCUAGUGAAUCAAUGGUUUAUAGAGUGCAUGGCCACUACUGAUAAAUAUUCGACUGAAAUAAUAAAAGCUUAAGAUUUUCUGUUUUGAGAAAAUUUGAAGAGUGAAAGACUAAAGCUGAAGAGCGAUGAAGACAAAGCUGAGAUACAAAGACUCAAUAUAAAUCUGCGAUGAAGGGAAUCAAAAUUAAUCCUUCAUGCAAUGUUUUUGCUCAAUUUAGAAAUAAGGUUAGUGACAGAGAACAAGUUCUGCUCAUCAUUUUUGUUUGAUUCUGCCAAUUUGAUAUUCAUUGAGGAAGACAUGCACACAGUGAUAAGAUUAUAAGAUGAAGAAUCAAAUGUUGAUUCCAAUUUAUUUAUAAUCAUAAAAUGUUCUAGGCCUUAGUUACCACUUCAGUAACUCCUUGUUCAUGUUGACUGUUGCCAUAUGAAUAUCUUUAUUGAAGAUUAAAUUAGGAACAUUUGAUACAAAGUGGGGUUUGCAAACUGAAUACGAACACAUUAGAUGAAUCAAGUUAAACAGGAAAUGGAGUUACAAUUUUUGUUCAAACGACAUAAUGAUCUUUCACUUCUAAUAUCAAAUAUAACACACAUUUUACUUCUGCCUUGAGAAACUACAAGGCAUAUCAGUUACAAAGGGGGGAAAAAUAACUAGCUCACAUUCCAUGUGGUUCUUUUAAUGCUGCGACAAGUCUGUUAUUUUUUUUAAACUCAUUGUGACCACGUCGAUGUCUAUAAAAGUUUUCCUAACCUUUACAUGCAUGAUAAUUUAAUUUUUCCAGCUCAUAAUAGUAUGGUUCAAGAUUUGAGGUAAACAUUAUGAAAUUUGUGCAGCAAUAAAAUUAGGUCAGUGAUUAAUGGAAUCAUUAUUUACACUUGAACAGAAGGCAAUCAGGCAACAAGCUGCGCCGCUAGACUUGGUUUAAUAGCCAAAGAUUAAUUCUAAUCUUAGAAAUUCAAAUCAAAAACCAUUUGAAGCAGGCAGCCCAUAUUUGUGAACUCUAUAAAAUGUAAUGCAUGAAGAAAGAAUCAAAAACUAUAUCUAUCUAAUAUAUGAGAAUAGCAUUUCAAUUCCUCCUGAUAUAAAUAUAAUCGACCAUUAAUUAACAAAGAACAAUAAAGUCACAAAUAAUUAGAACAAUCAUAAAAUAAAUUAUAAACAGAAAUUAACAUAAAAUUGAUUGAGUCAUUAACAUAAAAUUGAUCGAAUCUAAAGUUUAAGUCACAUAGCACCACAUCUACAUCCUUACAUUAGAAACAAGGUGAUACCAAACUCUCAACGUAGACUUCAGGGAUAUUCCAACCAUUGAUGUUUUCAAUCAUUUUUCGUUUGGUCAACUGUGUGGUGUGCUUCCCUCCACUGCAUUUUUCGUUUGGUUUUUAAUUUACUGAAUCUAGGUAAGAAUAAAUACUCUUCCUUUCAUGAAUUUUGUGGGCAAUAUGUUUUUAUGGGCAAUAUGGCGACAACAAGUUAAAACGAUAUACAUGACUUUAAGAUUAAUAGUUUUUAUGCUGAACAAUUGAUUUUUAUUUUUGUAGGAUGAAUUGGGAAAUGAUUAUGAAGAAGCUGUUAGUGUGGAGUGGGUUGAUAAGUGUUUAAGCCUUACUUUCAAGUGUCCAUGUGGCAAGGGAUAUGAGGUUCUAAUCUGUGCAAACAAUUGUUACUACAAGUUGGUCUAGAAGAAUCAGUAUGCUUAUUUGUGACAUGGAUCACUUUUGUUUAUAUUCUGUUUUAGUUUGGAAAAAGCUUGUCUGUUUUCAUUUGUAGUAGCACUUGGUUGUCACUAGAAGAACCAAUCUAUAUUUGUAGAUCCUUACAUUUAUUCAUCGGCUGGUUUGACUUCGAUUAUCUUGCAGUCUUGUUUAACUGUUAAACUAUGUAUGAACCAAGAUUGAUUUGGCCGAUUUUUAAGUUACAAAACUGGAUUAGCAUUUAUGUCAAUAAUGAAAUUCUUAGUCACAGAUUUUGGGUUUGCAAUGUUAUUAUUGAGACAGCUUACUACCUUAGCAAGUACAAAACCUAAAUUUACAUGUGUCAACAUAAAACCUCCGCAAAACAUGCUAUGAUGAGCUUCAAAGAAACAAGAACAACAAGCCCUUAGCAACAGAAAAAACAUGCCAUAUUGCUUUCAAUUCAAUUCUUUGCUAAAUUAAUUCUGCCUGCAUAUACCGAAGCAAGUAAGUCAGAAAAAAGAGAGACAAGCAAAUAAGUCAGAUCCCAAAUUACAUUGAUAAAUAAUACCAUAAUAAUGAAACUCAGAACCACUAUGUGACCAUGGAGGUAUGUGAGUACAGACAAGUGUUUCAAAUAAAGGAAUAGGUAGCACAUGAGUACUAACAUCUUUUGCAGAAUCAUAUGUAGCUGGUGUCACAAGUAUCCUCAAAGAAAGUAACAUGUGCAGAGAUAUAAAAAGGAUGUGUAGAUGGAAAAUAACAUUGAUACCCCCUUUGAACUCUGGACUACCCCGAAAACACGCACUCGCUUGAUAGACCGUGCAUACAAUCUUUCGCGGCCAGGUGGUAGAUCAUGAACAAAAUAUGUGGAUCCAAACACUCGAAUAGGAACAAAAUACAGGAGGUCCUUAUGAAACAAGAGAAAUGUCGAAUCACAUUAUCCAAUAUUGAAAAUGACUUGUAGUUGAUCUAACAACAGACGAUGAGAAGUGCAAUACCUCAAAUUUUGAAAGAUGCAUGAGCACUGAUCAAUAAGGUACGAGCUGUAUCGAAUACGAUAUUUCUGCUCAGCAACACUAUUUUGUUGUCGUGUGUGCAGACAACUAGACUUAUGAUUUGUGCCCUGAAAGGUCAAGAGGAGUUUCAUUGUGAAGAAAAGAAUUCUUUGGCAUUGUAACUAACACUUAUAAGAGAAGGUAAUCAAAAGCCCAUUUUAUGUGCUUAUUAGGUAAAAGAAGAACAGAGCAAAGAUAUAAAUAUAUUAAGAAGGAUUUAACUAGCACUUGAGGUUGCCAAUGACUAAUGUUGUUUCUGAAGGAAAUAGCAAGUAUAUUUAUAGUUAUUGAGGUUCUCUGAAAAUCCAAUUCCAAGCUAAAUUAUUAUUUGAAAUUGUUAACGAUUAAAUAGCAUAAGAUAAUAUAGCAUUUGGUGUUGUCUUAAGAUUGUACCCCACCUUCUCAAAAAAUGGGAAAUACAAAGCAUCUACUUGCAACCAAUUGAGACUUUCUCAAGUGCAGAGCAGCUUCAUAUCUGUUCAUGCAUUAAUUACUAUUUCAUAACUGUGAAAACAUGCUAAGACAUGUUUUAUUUCAUUAUGAUAGUGUUGAUGUCAACAUAAACCACUCUACAUGUUUGUGGUUAUACUUUCAAGUUCAUUAACUCUAUGCUGGCCUCUGCUCAACAAGGUGGGACUUGCAUUAUCUAUCUACCACAAGAUUUGAUGUUGAUCCUUGAGAAAGUCCUCUAAAUUCUAAAGACAACACCAUGUGAUGUUUCAUAUGCUCUUGUCUGAACAUGACUCAAAUAUUAUGGCCCUCAUUCACUGAUCAUUAUAGUUGCCGAUGGUUUGCUAAGUAUCCUUUCAUCUAUAUAUAUUCAUGGCUGCAAGCCUUUAGCAUCAACACAAAUCAUUCACAUUCCAACUCCCAUUUGAAGUUCAAAAACUAGUCUUUUCUAUAUACAAGUCUGUCUAUUUUAGACCAAUCUUUUCUUUUUAACACAUACAAUACAACAAUGGGUUUUCGUUUACCAAGUAUCAUCAAAAGGGCAUCAUCUUCAAAAUCUGUGGGUGUUCCAAAGGGAUAUCUAGCUGUGUACGUAGGAGAGGAGAUGAAGAGAUUUGUGAUCCCUAUAUCAUAUUUGAAGCAAAAAUCAUUCCAAGAAUUGCUGAGCCAAAGUGAGGAACAAUUUGAAUAUGAUCAUCCAAUGGGUGGUCUCACCAUUCCUUGCGGAGAAGACGUUUUCUUAGACAUCACUUCUCGCUUGAAUUGAAGAUAUCAAAAGACUGACAUAGAUAUUUGACCAAUUUUUGUAGCACUUUAGUUUCUAACCUUCAAAAGAUUUUCACUUUUGUUGUUAUCAUACUUGGAUGUAAAACGUUCAUCUGAAUGAGAAAUUUUUGAACACUAUUACAUUAUUUCUCUAUUCCUUCCCCUUAAUUAUAAAUAUGAAAAUCGAUUGCUAAAUGUUCAAUUUAUUAUCUCUCUGAUAAAAUGAAAAAUUCAUUUACUUCAUAUAUAAAAUUGAAUUGCCCCUGUUAGAAAAAUAAAGAAAUAAGAAACUGAUAUAAUUUAGUGGUCAUAAAUUAAGUAUAUAUUGUUAAAAGAAUCUUCAAGAAUAACACUGAAUAUAACUAUAUUGAUUUAUUUGUAGUUUUAUUUUGAGUCAUAGAUCCUGUUGUUGUUUUGCAAACAAAAAUGGUUUAUUUGCAUUUAGUUGGUGGCCAAGUUGAUCUUAGGCAUGGAUGUCACCUACAAUUUUAGACAGUUGCCAAUUAUCUAGUUUUUCUAAUUAUUUUGAAGGAGAAAAUUUAAAAAACUCCUAACUUAUACUAUGUUUUUAUAUCAAAUUGAUAUUUGUUGAGUAUAUAUUAUCGACCAGUAAAAAAAACGUACAUAUUAUCUAUAACAGAUUCCUGUUCCCUACAGAAAUAUACAACUGAAACAACACAAUACUGCGAUUUUUUGUUUUGAGGAAACUAGAAGAGUUAAAGACUUAAGACCUAAGAUCUAGCAGGGAAAUUUGAAAUUUGAAUCAAUUUCUACCCCUGGAUUUGAAAUAAUUAUUUAGCUUGUGAAUUUGAAGAAUGUAACCAAAUUAAGUGAGAGAGCUUAUGAAUAAAAUUGAAGUAGGUGCUAAUUUGUACUUAGCAGAUAAGGCAAUAGUUAUGAUAAUCAUAUCCAAAUUUUUUCUUUUUUUGAAUAUAUGUGAAAUAUUUAACCAAACACCUCUUAAUAUAUAAUCAUCAAUGGAAGAAAAGACAUUUUUUGAAGACAAAGACCAAACCUAAUUAAUUUCGUUAAAUUAUCAAUGGUUAAUGAUUUAUUGCAAGAAUUCUACUAAUUUACCUGGAAUUAGCAAAACAGGUAUUGUUGCAUAGAAAGGGUUAACAGGAUUUUACAGAAAUAAAAAUAACAGAUUGUCUUUUUUCAACUAUAGCUUGAGGUAUGCUUUAUUUUUUAAAUCAGCAAAAUUAUUUAUUCUUCAUAUGCAGGCUUAUAUUUAAAUAACUAACUGUAGCUAGUGAAAGUUAACUGAUAAAGUAAAUGAACUCGAUCAUUAAACAUUAAAGAAGAGGACAUAUAUUUUUGAAUUUGACAUUCUUACGGUAAAAUUUGUCCAUUUCUCAUGAAAAGAGUCAUAUAUUUACAACUUCACAAGUCAAAUAAAUUCCUAUUUGAAAAAUGUCUCAACUAAUCUAGUGUAUGUCAGUAUGUUACAAUAUAAGAUUCAUAGCCCAUUCAAGCAAGAAGUUAUAUGUUGGAAGACAUCUUCGGAGCAAGGAAUGGUGAGGCCACCCAUGGGAUGAUCAUAUCCAAACUCUUCCUCGGCUUGACUCAACAAGUCUUGAAAUGAAGGUUGAUUCAAGUAUGAUACAGGAACUACAAACCGCGCCAAUUUCUCUCCAACAUACACGGCAACAUAGCCCUUUUUCACUUCUACUGAUUUUGAUGUUGUUUGUCUAGCUGUUACCGAUCCUCUUAGAAUAGAGUUUAAACGGAAACCCAUUUUUUGUUAUUGUUUGAGAGAAAAACAAAUAAAAAAUCUCAAAUGUAACUAAAUAUUUGAUGAUGCCAAUCAGUUGUGCUGUUUAUGAAGGAGAGAGGAAGUGUAUUUAUAGAUUUUGAAGUUCUCUCAAAACCAAAUUUCAAGAGAAACUAUUAUUGAAGGGUUUGAUGGAUAGAGAGCACAGGGAUAAGGUAGCAUGGGGUGUUGUCUUAGAGUGUACCCUACCUUUCCUAAACAAUGUCCAAUACAAAGCUUCCACUUGCUAAAAAAUAAGAUGUGAUCAAGUAUAGCCUCAUAUUUGUUCAUGAUUUAAUUAGCGUCAAUAAUUUUGUAAGCAUGCUUCAGACAUGUUUUCUUCAUUAUGAUAAUGCCGAUGUGAAGCUGGUAUGUGACUCUAAGGACAUGGAUAACAAUAGAUCAACAUAAACCAUUCUACAUGUCUGUGGUUGUACUUUCAAGUCUAUCAAUUAUAUGAUGCUUCUGCUCAAGAAUUAUGCAUUAUCUAUCUACUACACCAUUUGAAGUAUAUCCAUUCAUUUCGAGACAACACCAUGUGAUCUUUCAUAUGCUCUUGUCUGGCCAUGGCUAAAUUCUAAUGGUCCUCCUUAAUUGAUCAUUGUAGUUGCCGACUGUUUGUUAAAUAUCCUUUCAUCUAUAUAUAUUAUUGACUGCAAAAGCAUUUAGCACCAACAAAAAAUAAUUCACAUCCCAAGGCAUUUGAAAUUCAGAAACUUGAGUCUUCUAUAUACAACUGUUUCUUUUUUAGAUCAAUAUCUUCUUUUCAACACAUACAUACAACAAUGGGUUUCCGUUUACCUAGUAUCAUCAAAAGGACAUCAUCUUCAAAAACCGUGGACGUUCCAAAGGGAUAUCUAGCAGUGUAUGUUGGUGAGAAAAUGAAGCGGUUUGUGAUUCCUGUAUCAUACUUGAACCAAACCUCAUUCCAAGAACUGCUGAGCCAAAGUGAGGAACAAUUUGAAUAUGAUCAUCCAAUGGGUGGUCUAACUAUUCCUUGCAGAGAAGACAUUUUCUUGGAUAUUACCUCUCACUUAAAUUGAAUUAGCUCUUUGAAGAUAUCAUAGGACUGACGUAGAUAUUUUACUCAUUUUUUUGUAGAUGUUGUUAUCAUACUUGUUGUAAAAAUGUUCAUCUCAAUGAGAAAUUUAUUUGCAUUAUUUUCUCUAUAUUUCUCGAUAUAUAAAUCUGUAAAUCAAAACAUCUUUAAACGAUAUAUUGGAAGAUUCAGUUAUUUAAAUAUAAAACCAACCCCCCCUUUUACAAAAAGAAAAUUAAAGUUAAAAGUAACUAUCAUGAUUUAACAAUUAUUGGAUAAUUAUUUAUAUAACCAAAAAAAAUGUUGGAUAUUAAUUUAUAUAACAAAAAAAAAAUUGGACAAUAAUAUAUAUAACAAGAAAAAAAAUUAAAAUUAAAGUUAAAAGUAACUCUGCAGAGAAGCCCAUAGUUAUUCGAUAAUAAUUUAUAUAACAAAAAAAAAUUGUUAAACAACAAGUCGCUUUGGCCGAGUGGGUAAGGCGUGUGCCUGCUAAUUACAUGGGGUUUCCCCGCAAGAUUUCGAAUCUCUCAGGUGACGGAUUUUUAUUUUUUUCAUAACAAAAUUGAUAGGAAUUUUUUUUAAUUAUCUAGUCUUCUAUAUGUGGAUUUUAAUAAUGACAUUAAUUUUUCUAGUAUCAGAGAAAUAAAUGUAAUACAUGAACUCGAUCGAAUAAUCUGACAGAGUGAAUAACUUAGUUGCUUCAUGUUAAAAAUAAAUAGAAAAACUUGAAUUUAUUAAAUACAAGUUUCAUCUAUCUCUUGGUAUAUAUUUUUUUCCGUCGGGAAUACAAAUCAAGAAAAUCAAUCCUAUAUAGUAUGUGCGGGAAGAAACUAAAUGAAUCAUAACAGGGGAGAGACAGAGCAUUGUGAUUCAAAGAAAAAUAAUUUAUAUAGUAUGAGAGACAGAGCGUUGUGAUUCAAAGAAACUAAGCGAAUCAUAACAGGGGAGAAACUUACUUUUAUGUGAAUGUGUUGUGAUUUAUGUAGUCUGAAUUGAUGCACUUGGUUCUUGAAGUUCAGGCUUCCAACUGCUUCUAUUUGACUACCUCUAUUAACAUUGAUGUGAUAAUUAAGUUUUAUAGGCUUUGAGUUUCUUAUAUAUUAUGUUAGUGUUUCUUUUGCUACUUCAUUUUUGAUGUUCAAAUUAACAAUACAAAUGUACAAUUGAGUCAAAACUACUAUUGUAUAGAUCUAACCGAGUUCAUUUGCUAUUUUUCUGUUUCGGAAUGUGUGGAAAAAAACUAGUAGUGAAAAACUUUCAUAAGUCCUACCAGCCAGUCAGUUUGAAUCUACUUCUAAUUACUGAAAGGAUUUGGAAUUUUUCUAAAGUUUAAAGGUGUCUACCAAUAAACUGUCUGACGGAGCUUCGAGAAAAAAUUGAAGUCUAGGUGCUAAUUUCUAUUUAGGCGAUAAGAUUAGUUAAAAUAAUCAUGUUCAACUUUAAGUUUUUGAGUAUUUGUAAAAAAUUUAACCAAACAAGCUCUUAUUAUAGAAUAAAUAGGCGCAAAGCCGAUUUCGGAGGACAGGCCAAGCCAUGUUUAUUUAGCUAAAUCAUCAAUAGUUAUUGAUUUAGUCCAAGAAUUUUAGCUAGCUGGCUGGAAUUAGCAAAACUGGUUUAGUUAAUCUGGAUUCUAACAGUGACAUUAAUUUUUCUAGCAUAGGAGAAAUAAAAGUAACGGAUCAUAUCAUUUGAAAAGACAUAAACAUAAAAGAAUAAACUAUAGCUUGUGAUAGGCAUUAAUUUUUAAAUAAGCAUGAAAAGUGAAGUUAUAACUGAUAAAAUAACUGAGCUCACUGUCAAUAAAUAAGGAAAAAGAGGACAGUAUAUUUUUGAAUUUGAUAUUCAGAUGGUAAUAUUUCUCCAUUUCUCAUGAAAAGUGUCAUAAAUUUACAACUUCACAAGUCGAAUAAAUGCCUAUUUGAAAAAUGUCUCAGCUAAUCUAGCGUAUAUCAGUAUGUUACAGUGUAAGAAUCAUAGCCCAUUCAAGCAAGAAGUUAUAUGUUGGAACACAUCUUCGGAGCAAGGAAUGGUGAGGCCACCCAUGGGAUGAUCAUAUCCAAAUUCUUCUUCCGCUUGAUGUAGCAAUUCUUGAAACAAUGGUUGGUUCAAGUAUGAUAUUGGGACAACAAACCGCUUCUGUUUCUCUCCAACAUACACUGCAACAUAGCCCUUUGGAACUUCUGCUGAUUUUAGAGCUGCUUGGCUAGCUGUGAAUGAUGCCCGUCGAAUAACAUUUAAACGGAAACCCAUUUUUGGUGAUUGUUUGAGAGAGAAGAACAAACUCAACAAAGUAAAUAUCUCAAAAAAUUUAGAAGAAUGUAACUAAUACUUGAGGAUGUCAACGACUUGUGUUGUGUUUGAAGCCAAUUUGUAAGUAUAUUUAUAGUUACUGAGAUUCUUUGCAAACCUAAUUCCAAGCUAAAUUAUUUCUUGAAAGAGUUAAAGGAUAAGAUGAUAUACCAUGUGGUGUUGUCUAAACAUUGUACCACCACCCUUUCAAGUUCAACCUCAUAUUUUAUCAUCUAUUAACUAUCACUUCAUAAUUGUGUAAACAUGUUUCAGACAUGUUUUCUUCAUUAUCAUGGUGCUGAUGUCCAGCUAGUAUCGACUAACGAAUAGAUAGACUAAUCUGCAUUAUUUGAAGGGGGUGCAUUAUCUACCAUGAAAUUAAUUUGAUGUUGACCCAUGUGUAAGUCCUCCAAAACAAUACCAUGUGAUCAUUCAUAUGGACUUGUCUCCCAUAGUUCUCAUGACUUGCAUCCAUCUCAUGGCUCUCCUUCAAGUUGCCGACUAUUUGUUACAUAUCCUUUCAUCGUCUAUAUAUACGAUCAUUUAGGACCAAUACAAAACCAUUCACAACCAAAACCAUUUGAAAGUCAGAAACUUGAGCCUUCUGUUUACAAACAAUUCUCCUUUUUAGAAUAAGCUUCUGAUCUUUUCAACACAUACAUACAACAAUGGGUUUUCGUUUACCAAGUAUCAUCAGAUCAAGGGCAUCAUCUUCAAAAGGUUUGGACGUGCCAAAAGGCUAUCUAGCAGUAUACGUAGGAGAGAAAAUGAAGCGUUUUGUGAUUCCUGUAUCAUACUUGAACCAAACAUCAUUCCAAAAGUUGUUGAACCAAGCUGAGGAACAAUUUGAAUAUGAUCAUCCAAUGGGUGGUCUCACCAUUCCUUGCAGAGAAGACAUUUUCUUAGAUAUUAAUUCUCACUUGAAUUGAAUUACCUUUUUGAAGAUAUCAUAGGACUGACGUAGUUAUUUGAUCCAUUUUUUGUAGUAGUUUAGUUUCUCACGUUCAAAAUAUUUAAUCUUUUGUUGUUAUCAUACUUGGUUGUAAAAAUGUUCAUCUCAAUGAGAAAUUUAUUAACAUUAUUUUCUCUAUAUUUCUUCAUAAUAAUGAAAGAUUAAGUUAUUCAAAUAUAAAAUCAAUCCUCCAUUUUGCAAGAAAAAAAAAUAAAGUUAAAAGUAACUAUCAUGAUUAAUGAUCAUAGAUUGUAUAUAUUGCAAAAAAAAAUCUGCAGAGAAGCAUUUAAGUAACAAGUUGCUUUGGCCGAGUGGUUAAGGCGUGUGCCUGCUAAGUACAUGGGGUUUCCCCGUGAGAGUUCGAAUCUCUCAGGCAACGAAUUGUUUUUUUUAAUAACAACCAUUGAGUUAAAAAUAGUUAACUCUACAUUUUUUGUUUCAAAUAAAAAAAUUAUAAUCAAAUUCUUCAAUGACAAAGUUGUUUUUCUUUUGCUUUGAUAUGACUAGUUACAGUUUUGCUCUCAAAAGAGAAAGACUAAUUUCAAUUUUGCUGUAAAAACAAAGUGCAAGUUCCAUUUAUGAACAUGGGACUCUCCACAUCUUUUACCAUCUCCUACUUUUUUUUUCUUUGUAUAAAUCGAGUAUCUCAGCUGUCGAGUCUAAUAUAAUCACAUACAACAAAAAUCUCCUCAAAAUUUUAAUGUUGUUGCGUACACAUAGUUCGAAGUCAAAACCUCAAUAUAGACAAGAAGAAAAUUUUGAUAUCUUAUCUAAGUAAUCAUGGUAUGUCAUCCAAUCACUCUUGAAUUAUAGUCUCGCACUUUACUUUUUCCUAACUCUAAAAGCUGCAGAACAUCCCUAUUUAAUGUGUGCUAGUAACUGAGCCAUUCGACAAGGUUGCCACUGAAACAUGACUCGUGCUACCAGAGAUUGAAUUUUUUCUAUCUAUGAUCCAUCAUUGGAUGAUUUACUCAAUUAUAUCAAUAUUAAUAUAUAAACCUAUCUUUUUGCAUGAAUCUGACACUUUAGAAUUCAUGUUUAAAUUCUUAUGGUAUAAUUAUAUCAAUUUUUUCAUGUUUAAAUUCAUGGAUCAUAGAUAACUUAAUGAAUUUACUUGUAACGAUCCAUCUAUAUAGAUCUUCAUGUUUUUUAUUUACUCCACUUUAAUAUAUAUUGACUUUUCAUUAUAGUAUGACUUUUCAAUGCAAAGUACAAAAAGGCACUACAAAGGAAAAUAACUUUGAAAAGCAUAUGCAAAGGGCAUUAAGAGUUUAUAACAUAUAUUCAUUGAACAUUGGCCUAAAGCCUAAAAAAAGUUACAAUCUUUGUCCAUAUUAAAAAACACAUGACAUGACGGUUAUUGUAUUUAUGCAGCUUGUUUUUGGCAGACUGUUUUGUAUGAAUGUUCCGAGUUGUGAAGUGGUAAAAAUCAAUUUAGAACCACUGAUGUGGACAGAAGGGGCAAAAAUUGUCAUGACCAGCCAGAAAUCCAUUUUGGUUUGUAUCUCUCAAAUACAAAUUAUGUAAAACUUCUUUUCCUUUAAACAUUUUGAUUAGAUUUUAAGGACAGAAAAAAAAAACAUUGGAUUAAAAUGCAUAUAUAAUAAUAAAAAAUAUUAAUUCUACGAUACUACAUAGAGAUUGGUACAGUGAGAAUUAGUUAUCAUGGGUUCGAUCCUCGGCGCUCGAAGUCUCUAACUCUAUAUCCUACCUACAAAAAUCAGUUACCCUUGAAAACCUCACAAAUCAUCAUAUACCAUCUCUCCUAUAUAUAUACUCAAACCAUACCUCUUUUUUCAUAACUCUUUGCCACUCACACUUACUUUACAACCAAAGCUCAAAUUCAAAUCUAAAAACAAAAAACAAAACAAUUCAGAAGAAUGGGUGAUUUACAGAUUCAACAAGAAUCCAUGUUGAUCCCUCACAAACAGAAACAAUCCAUGAUUAUUCCAACAUCAUCAAUGCCUCAUCAUCACACUCACAACAACACUGUCAAACGCCGUUCACCAUCAUCAUCAUCUUAUCACCAACCAUCAUCCAAGAAGCAUUCUUUUGACGCAAGCAAUCUCACCCGUAAUGGCUUCUCUGCCAUUACAAUUCCUUUCAGUCUCCGCGGGAAUGCUCUUAGCCGCUGUGUCUCUGAUCCAUGCACCUUUCCGGAUCAAUCCAUGCCAGUAAAAGGGCCGUCAACUGCUUUGCAGCCUCUGCCUCCGAUCAGCAGAUGUAUAUCUGAAGUUAUCGAUCCUACUGAGGUUAAAGAAGCAGUAGCUCGUUAUUUGAACUGUGCUGAAAAAACCACCCCUGAAUCUGAUUCAAUGGUAUGUGUUGAAACUUGUGUUUCUUGCUAAAAAAGUAAUCUUUUUUUUAAUUUGGAAUAAUGGGUUUUGUUUGUUUUUUGUAGAGGCUUAAAAGGAUGAAGGAUCGGUUAAAAGAAAUGAAGAAAGUGUGGGAUGAAGUUAUGGAAGUCGAGGAAGAAAAUGAAAAAGACCAAGAAGAAGAGCCCUCUCCUGAUGCUGAAGAUGAAAAAGAACAAGAACAAGAACAAGAAGAGCACUCUCUUGACUCUUUUGUUGCUGAAGAUGAAAAAGUCAUAUCUCAGGUACAUAUCUUGAAUCUUUAACGGUGAUUGUGUUUUCUAUUGUAAUCUUCAAUGUAUUUGGUUCUUUAAUUGGUACUUAUAAGUUAUGCUCAUAAAUUUAUAAGUUUUUUCUUGUUUUUAUGUAUAUCGUAGUCACACUUGUUUAAUUACGUAGAAUCCGGGGGUUAUGGGAAGGUAUUGAAUUUGAUCAUAGUUGCAUAUGUGCAGCAAUUUUAACAACUCAAUUAUAUAGGAUCUGGGAUUUAUGGGAAGGUGUUGAAUGUUUCCUUGCUUGUUCACAUAAGUUGUCUUCUGUAGUUAAGAAAUAGUCAUAUAUGUUAAUGCUAGUAAGUAGCAAAGUUGUCCAUCACAUAUCAUGGAAAGUAGUGAUUUGUUCAAAUUCGGAUAUGCUGCUGUAUUAUAGCUGAUAUGUAACCACCUUUUGUUCCACUUAAAGGAUCUGAGGGUUUGGCUAAGAAGCAUAAUAAAUUGUUGAUGUGAUCAUAGUUGCACUUGUAAUCAUUGUUUUAAAUUGCGAUUGCAGUCGCACUUGUGGUCACGAUGUGAACCUUUACAUUGUGGUGAAAUAUGGACGAUGUGACUAAAAUUGUGUUUGUGAUGCCCUUGUAUAGACCUCAAAAUCCUCUAAAAAGCGGCUGCAAUUGCGAUGUAGUUAUGGAGACAACAAGUUAAAACUAUAUACAUGACUUUAAGAUUAAUAGUUUUUAUGCUGAACAAUUGAUUUUUGUUUUUGUAGGAUGAAUUGGGAAAUGAUUAUGAAGAAGCUGUUAGUGUGGAGUGGGUUGAUAAGUGUUUAAGCCUUACUUUCAAGUGUCCAUGUGGCAAGGGAUAUGAGGUUCUAAUCUGUGCAAACAAUUGUUACUACAAGUUGGUCUAGAAGAAUCAGUAUGCUUAUUUGUGACAUGGAUCACUUUUGUUUAUAUUCUGUUUUAGUUUGGAAAAAGCUUGUCUGUUUUCAUUUGUAGUAGCAUUUGAUUGUCACUAGAAGAACCAAUCUAUAUUUGUAGAUCCUUACAUUUGUUUUGUAAAUAAGUUGGUAUGUACUAUCUCAACAUUCUUAGAAUUAGGAACUGACCAGUUCAUCGGCUGGUUUGACUCCGAUUAUCUUGCAGUCUGGUUUAACCGUUAAACUACGGAUGAACCAAGAUAGAUUUGGCCGAUUUUAAUUUAUAAAACUGGAUUAGCAUUUAUGUCAAUAAUGAAAUUCUUAUUCACAGAUUUUGGGUUUGCGACGUUAUUAUUGACACAGCUUACUACCUUAGCAAAUACAAAACCUAAAUUUACAUGUGUCAACAUAAAACCUCCGCAAAACAUGCUAUGAUGAGCUGCUAAGAAACAAGAAAGACAUGCCCUUAGCAACAGAAAAAACAUGCUAUAUUGAAUUGAAUUCAAUUCUUUGCUAAAUGAAUACUUCCUGCAUAUACAGAAGCAAGUAAGUCAGAAAAAAGAGAGACAAGCAAAUAAGUCAGAUCCCAAAAUGCAUUGACGACGUAUCAACUCUCCAUGUGACACGUCGUAAAUAUUCUAAUGUAGCACCUCUAAGAAGACUCAAAUUGUUCUAGGUGAACACAUUUUUGCAUCCAAUAGUAUUCACUAAUAUUCAUGUGUCAUUUGAGUUACGAUAUAAUAUAGACCGUACGAUGAUUUUUCUAACUUGUAAACAAGACCAGUAUCACCCUGACCAAUGAAGCCAGGUGGCUGCUGCAUAUACAUCGCCUCCAAGACUCCAUGAAAUAAGAUAUUUUUAAUGUCAAGUUGACAAAGGUAAAUGUAUGAUGGCAGCCACUGAUAUUCAUGUGCCAUCUGAAUGAGGAAAUAUUCAUUUUGAUAAUCAAAGGCUCCAAUGAAAUAAAUGUUCAGUACAGAAUCUCUAGACGAUCAUUGAAUGAAAAAUUAAUUUCUCUUUUGAAAAGAAACUGUCCAAUGUUAACAUUUCACUACAAAUGCAAUCUAACAACAUUUUAAUUUCAGUCUGUUAAUGCCUAAAAAAGUUAUAAUUGUUUGGGUCAUCUGAUCUGCAUGUUGCUCCAAAUAAUGCUUCAAAGGCAUUAUCCAAGUCGCAUGAAUAGCACACACUUGUUCUUUGAGUCAUAUUAUUUUAGCCUUCGGAUGACUAAGGUUAAGUUCAAGAAUUUUGCAUAGCUACUUAUAAUUAGCAAAACUGAUUUUGUUAGAGAAAUGUUCAGUUACAGUAUUAAAAUAAGAGAUUAUCUUAUUUUAACAGGCAGAAAGAAAUAACUAUAACUUGUUAUUGAUUUUUAUUUUUUAUUUUUAAGAAGCAGAAAAUUAAGAGUGCGUUUGGAAAUUGAGAUUUCCACGGUGGAGUGGCUUGUUGAUGCACAAUGUAGGCCACUAGACAUUAAUGAACUAAUUGAAGUUGAUCAAUAAUAUAUAUAAUCUGUCUCCUUAAGCUUUGUUUGGGAGUUUGGAACUGGAGGGGAAAAUGGUAAAAUCUUUCACAUUUUUUUAAAGAGUAAUUAUUUUAGAAAAUGAUAAAUGAAUGCUUAUGAUUAAUAUAUUUUUAAUUUUAUGAAUAUUAUAAUUACAUUGAUUAAAUUUGAAGAAUACAUGUAAACCCUCCUCAAUACAUUUUUCGAGUUCCCUCAAAUGAGGAGGAUUUUGUAUUAUGAAGAAAAAUGAACCCCCAAAGUCUUUCCCUUUCAAUAUCAUCCAUUUCAUCAACUUCCUCCUCCCUUUUUUUCCAAACCCCUCCCCUCCCUUCCACUCCAAACUCGCAAACAAAGCCUUAAUCUCCAUGAGAUGGUUCUCUACAGUAUACAAAGAAAGAAUAAAAAUUUGAUUCUGUGGAUAAAACUUAAAAAUUAUUUAAAUUCUGUCCUUAAUAAACUUAUGUUUGGUACUUUUCUUUGGAUCUGAAAAAUAACUUUAGCUCUGCACUGACUGUUCAUAUUAUUUUUACUGUGAAAUUUAUGAAGAUAUACUUUUUUCCUUAGGCAAGCAGAUGGCUUUUUUUACGUGAUGUUCAAAUUGCGGAUUGCUGAAAUUGUAAUUGAUAAAGUAACUGAUCUUACCGUCACUACACAAGAACGAAAUAUGAAAGUUGUUUUUCUUUUGAUUCAGAUAACUAUUUUUCUCUGUUUCCAAUGAGAAGGUAUAAUUUUUACAAGUUAAAAAAUUCCUAUGGUACAAAAUUUCUCUACUAAUCUGUCAGUAUGCUAAAGUGUCAGAUUCAUGGCUCAAUUUAAGCAAGAAGUUACGUGUUGAAAGACGCCUUCAGUGCAAGGAAUGGUGAGGCCACCCAUGGGAUGAUCAUAUCCAAAUUCUUCUUCCGCUUGAUGUAGCAAUUCUUGAAACAAUGGUUGGUUCAAGUAUGAUAUUGGGACAACAAACCGCUUCUGUUUCUCUCCAACAUACACUGCAACAUAGCCCUUUGGAACUUCUGCUGAUUUUAGAGCUGCUUGGCUAGCUGUGAAUGAUGCCCGUCGAAUAACAUUUAAACGGAAACCCAUUUUUGGUGAUUGUUUGAGGGAGAAGAACAAACUCAACAAAGUAAAUAUCUCAAAAAAUUUAGAAGAAUGUAACUAAUACUUGAGGAUGUCAACGACUUGUGUUGUGUUUGAAGCCAAUUUGUAAGUAUAUUUAUAGUUACUGAGAUUCUUUGCAAACCUAAUUCCAAGCUAAAUUAUUUCUUGAAAGAGUUAAAGGAUAAGAUGAUAUACCAUGUGGUGUUGUCUAAACAUUAUACCACCACCCUUUCAAAUUCAACCUCAUAUUUUUUCAUCCAUUAACUAUCACUUCAUAAUUGUGUAAACAUGUUUCAGACAUGUUUUCUUCAUUAUUAAAGUGUUGAUGUCCAUCUUGUAUCGACCUAACGAACGGAUAGACUAAUCUGAAUUAUUUCAAGUGGAUUAACAUGCUUUGUUCAAGGUGGUGCAUUAUCUACCAUGAAAUUAAUUUGAUUUUGACCCAUGUGGAAGUCCUCCAAAACAAUAACAUGUGAUCUUUCAUAUGGACUUGUCUCCCAAAGUUUUCAUGCCUCAUCCAUCUCAUGGCUCUCCUUCAAGUUGCCGACUGUUUGUUACAUAUCCUUUCAUUUGUCUAUAUAUACAAGCAUUUAGGACCAACACGAAAUCACUCACAACCAAAAGCAUUUGAAAUUCAGAAAGUUGAGCCUUCUAUUUACAAACAAGUCUUUCAUUUUUAGAUCAAGCUUCUCUUUUCAACACAUACAUACAACAAUGGGUUUCCGUUUACCAAGUAUCAUCAGAUCAAGGGCAUCAUCUUCAAAAGCUGUGGACGUUCCAAAGGGAUAUCUAGCAGUGUACGUAGGAGAGAAAAUGAAGCGGUUUGUGAUCCCUUUAUCAUACUUAAACCAACCAUCGUUUCAAGAAUUGUUGAACCAAGCUGAAGAACAAUUUGAAUAUGAUCAUCCAAUGGGUGGUCUUACUAUUCCUUGCAAAGAAGACAUUUUCUUAGAUAUUACUUCUCACUUGAAUUGAAUUAUUAGUUCUUUGAAGAUAUCAUAGGACUGACGUAGAUAUCUGACCCAUUUUUUGUAGCAGUUUUAUUCUCACCUUCAAAAGAUUUAAUCUUUUGUUGUUAUCAUACUUGGUUGUAAAAAUGUUCAUCUCAAUGAGAAAUUUAUUAACA
rnacentral:lncRNA from 1 species